rnacentral:rRNA from 1 species
AUUGAACGCUGGCGGCAGGCCUAACACAUGCAAGUCGAACGGUAACAGGAAGAAGCUUGCUUCUUUGCUGACGAGUGGCGGACGGGUGAGUAAUGUCUGGGAAACUGCCUGAUGGAGGGGGAUAACUACUGGAAACGGUAGCUAAUACCGCAUAACGUCGCAAGACCAAAGAGGGGGACCUUCGGGCCUCUUGCCAUCGGAUGUGCCCAGAUGGGAUUAGCUAGUAGGUGGGGUAACGGCUCACCUAGGCGACGAUCCCUAGCUGGUCUGAGAGGAUGACCAGCCACACUGGAACUGAGACACGGUCCAGACUCCUACGGGAGGCAGCAGUGGGGAAUAUUGCACAAUGGGCGCCAGCCUGAUGCAGCCAUGCCGCGUGUAUGAAGAAGGCCUUCGGGUUGUAAAGUACUUUCAGCGGGGAGGAAGGGAGUAAAGUUAAUACCUUUGCUCAUUGACGUUACCCGCAGAAGAAGCACCGGCUAACUCCGUG